rnacentral:rRNA from 1 species
CCUACGGGUGGCAGCAGUGGGGAAUAUUGCACAAUGGGGGAAACCCUGAUGCAGCAACGCCGCGUGAAGGAAGACGGUUUUCGGAUUGUAAACCACUGUCCCCAGGGACGAAGAUGACGGUACCUGGGGAGGAAGCUCCGGCUAACUACGUGCCAGCAGCCGCGGUAAUACGUAGGGAGCGAGCGUUGUCCGGAAUUACUGGGUGAAAAGGGAGCGUAGGGGGGACUGAAAGUUGGGUGUAAAAUCUACCGGCUCAACCGGGAGCCGCACUUGAAACUGGAGUUCUUGAGUGAAGUAGAGGCAGGCGGAAUUCCGAGUGUAGCGGUGAAAUGCGUAGAUAUUAGGAGGAACACCAGUGGCGAAGGCGGCCUGCUGGGCUUUUACUGACGCUGAGGCUCGAAAGUGUGGGGAGCAAACAGGAUUAGAUACCCCUGUAGUC